GAUGAACGCUGGCGGCGUGCCUAAUACAUGCAAGUCGAGCGCGACUGAUUACACCGUUCUUCGGAACACCGUAAUCAUCGAGCGGCGGACGGGUGAGUAACACGUGGGCAACCUACCCUUAAGACUGGGAUAACCGCGGGAAACCGUGGCUAAUACCGGAUAAUACUUUUAUACAACGGUAUAGAAGUUGAAAGGUGGAUUUCUAUCACUUAAGGAUGGGCCUGCGGCGCAUUAGCUGGUUGGUAAGGUAACGGCUUACCAAGGCGACGAUGCGUAGCCGACCUGAGAGGGUGAUCGGUCACACUGGAACUGAGACACGGUCCAGACUCCUACGGGAGGCAGCAGUAGGGAAUCUUCCGCAAUGGGCGAAAGCCUGACGGAGCAACGCCGCGUGUGCGAAGAAGGUCUUCGGAUCGUAAAGCACUGUUGUUAAGGAAGAACGACAGUAAGAGUAACUGUUUACUGUGUGACGGUACUUAACCAGAAAGCCACGGCUAACUACGUG
rnacentral:rRNA from 1 species